UAGUGUUGAGAUUAAUGUACUUAAUACUAGAUAUUUAUAGCAUAUAUAAUUUUUUUUAUAGUGAUAAACAGUUCAAAUUGAUUUCGCUUGCUUGUUGCAAGGUAUCACUUUGCCCAUGUCUGUGCAAGAGAUUCAGCUUUUGAUAGGUGUUCAAGUUAGGUAUGGUGUCAGGCUAUCAAAAAAUAGUAUUUUCUCUUGCCUUUCUUAACUGCAGUUAUUUUUUCAGCUAUCUUGUUCCAGUGUCUGUCCUUGGAAUCUCUAUUUGCAUCUUUCCCUUAAUUUAUAAUACUCUUGAAAUUGUAGAAUGAAAGCUGCUGAUGAAGCACAGUUACUAGUUCUGAAGUACCCACUUUGUUGUGUUUUGUUGUUUUCUGAUGUGGGUUAAUUUCUAAAUAAAGUGGGUUGUUGGAUAUUGAUAUGUAAAGUUGAAUAGAUUCCUAAAUGAUGGAAGCAUCUGAAAUGUGUGCACAGGAAAUCCGGCUUAAAGGAAAGAGUAGCAGGUCUGAACUUCUGAUAAGGCCUUCUGGUCAGUCAGGUGGUCUUCAGAAUGCCAUUUCUGUUCUAUUUCUGGUUUCCUUGGGAGUUUGCAGAAAAGGAAAGCUGUAUUCUCCUUCUAGUGAUAGCUUGGAAGUCUGAUGUUUUUAACCUUAGAUACAUUGAUGAGCUACAGUUCACGAUGCUGAAGAUAAAUAUGAAGGAUUGUUUUGUAAUUAUUGGCAUUCUGGUUAGAAUAUAUUUUCUGUGCGGGAAGUGCCUUUCCAUCUGUUCUUCUAAAACUGCAAAUCUGAACUAAGUGUGACUUCAGUCUUUCUUUGUAGUAGUGACAGCAAGUUGUAUGUGUAGAGGUUUCGUGCAAAGUGAAAUACAGAGCUAAAAAUAUCUUCUGAAGACUCAGUCUCUUCAUCAGCCGUCCUAGAGAAGCAAUAAAUUACAGAAACCUUGCUGGGUUGGUUAAAUUACCUGAUUCAGUAAGAGAAAUUGUUUCUCCUGUCUUGUGGCUGAAGUUAAAUGCUGGGAUGGAUACGGUUCAUCUGCCUUUGAAAUGACUGUUGGAUUGUUGAAGAUACGCCAAGAAGUUGAUUCUCCAGCAGAGUUACUAGGUUAAUGUUUGGGACAAUCUAUCAGAAUGGUUCUAUGGGCUCUUUUGAGAUGUCCUCAACAUAUAUCAUCUGUCAAGGUUAAGGCAUGUGACUACUCCAUUUCAAGUAGGUUCUGCAUACAAAAUGUUGCAGUUAGGAGGCUGGAAACUAAAUGUAGUUUUUUGUACUAGUAAUAUCUGGCUGCGUGACUUCAGUGCUGAGUUUGUAAGGGUGCACAACAGUGGAAGAAGACAGCAUUCUGGUCUUGAGUGGCUGCAUCUGUUGGAAGUCUCCCAUGACCUGGAAACUUCUUCAUGUCAGAAAUAAGUUACACAAUAUCAGUAUGUGCAUGAUGAAGACAAACAUUAUGUAGCAUUAAUCUGUCCCUGUUUUUCAGAUAGAUGGGAUUUAGUUGCCUUGAAGAGAUUUGGCAGUGAAUAAUUAAGUAUUUACAUGAAUUACUGGAUAGUUCAUGAACUUUGAGUCAAUAAUUCUUCAUUGUGUCCAUGAGACUCAUGUUUAUGAUGCAGUGUUUUUCGGAUUGUAGAGAGCUGCAGGCCUUCUGAAUCAGAUCCUCUAUUGAGCAGCCUUUCUGCUCCAGCAGAUAGUAAAACACGUUUGUAAUCUUGCGUCCGUAGCCAGCGUUGGUACUGUAGAACUAUGACUUGAUUUGUUUAGAACAUUUGAGAUUUUCGUUUAAAUAAAGGUCUCUUUCUCAGUGUUAGUGUAACCCUGCUGAUUCUGUGCUUUAUUGCAGAACUACCCAUGAGUUCUUGUUUGGUGCCCUUGCUGAACUUGUAGAUAAUGCCAGAGAUGCGGAUGCCACAAGAAUAGACAUUUAUACUGAGCACCGGGAAAACCUGCGAGGUGGAUUCAUGCUGUGUUUUUUGGAUGAUGGAGCAGGAAUGGAUUCAAAUGAAGCUGCCAGCGUUAUUCAGUUUGGUAAAUCAGCCAAGCGAUCGCCGGAGUCAACUCAAAUUGGGCAGUAUGGGAACGGCUUGAAAUCGUGGGUAUUAAUCACAGCCAGUCUCCUGAGAUUGUG